GUUACCCCUAGAGGUGUUGCAGGUAUGACUGCCAUGUCAGAAGUGGGUUGGUAGGUGGCAGAGAGGAGAGAGAUUAUGUCUAUGUUCAGUGUUCUGACUUAUGAACAUUCAAAUGAUUAGUAACCCAACACU
ensembl:snoRNA LOC120103304 small nucleolar RNA SNORA17